ACCCGGCUGGCUCAGUUGGUAGAGCAUGUGACUCUUGAUCUUGGGGUCAUGAGUUCGAGUCCUGUGUGGGGUG
rnacentral:tRNA from 1 species